rnacentral:tRNA from 1 species
UAUACAUAGUUUAUUAAAAUUCUAGUCUGUGACUCUAGAGAUGAAAGCUAAUCUCUUUCUGCAUACC